GCCGGAGUGGCGGAAUUGGCAGACGCAAGAGACUUAAAAUCUCUCGGACACCUUGUGUCCGUAUCGGUUCGAGUCCGAUCUCCGGCACCA
rnacentral:tRNA from 1 species